GCGGGGGUAGCUCAGUGGUAGAGCUCCUGCCUUCCAAGCAGGAGGCCGCGGGUUCGAAUCCCGUCCCCCGCU
rnacentral:tRNA from 1 species